UAUAGGGGAGCCGUAGAGAAAUCGAGUCUUAAUAGGGCGUUUAGUUGCUGGGUAUAGACCCGAAACCAGGCGAUCUAUCCAUGAGCAGGUUGAAGGUUGGGUAACACUAACUGGAGGACCGAACCCACUGUCGUUGAAAAGCCAGGGGAUGACUUGUGGAUAGGGGUGAAAGGCUAAUCAAGCCUGGUGAUAGCUGGUUCUCCCCGAAAGCUAUUUAGGUAGCGCCUCGGACGAAUACCAUAGGGGGUAGAGCACUGUUUCGGCUAGGGGGUCAUCCCGACUUACCAAACCGAUGCAAACUCCGAAUACCUAUGAGUACUAUCCGGGAGACAGACUGCGGGUGCUAACGUCCGUAGUCAAGAGGAAAACAAUCCAGACCGCCAGCUAAGGCCCCAAAAUCAUAGUUAAGUGGGAAACGAUGUGGGAAGGCAUAGACAGCUAGGAGGUUGGCUUAGAAGCAGCCACCCUUUAAAGAAAGCGUAAUAGCUCACUAGUCGAGUCGGCCUGCGCGGAAGAUGUAACGGGGCUAAAA
rnacentral:rRNA from 1 species